CCGGGUGAGUAACACGUAUCCAACCUGCCGUCUACUCUUGGACAGCCUUCUGAAAGGAAGAUUAAUACAAGAUGGCAUCAUGAGUCCGCAUGUUCACAUGAUUAAAGGUAUUCCGGUAGACGAUGGGGAUGCGUUCCAUUAGAUAGUAGGCGGGGUAACGGCCCACCUAGUCUUCGAUGGAUAGGAGUUCUGAGAGGAAGGUCCCCCACAUUGGAACUGAGACACGGUCCAA
rnacentral:rRNA from 1 species